rfam:Lepisosteus oculatus linkage group LG6, whole genome shotgun sequence.
AUCAGAAUGGCAGAGCAGUCUAAGGUGCUGCGUUAAGGUCGCAGUCUCCCCUGGAAGCGUGGGUUCGAGUCCCACUUCUGACA